UACGUAGGUGGCAAGCGUUGUCCGGAUUUACUGGGCGUAAAGAGCGCGCAGGCGGUCGUUCAAGUCGCGUGUGAAAGCCCCCGGCUCAACUGGGGAGGGUCACGCGAUACUGAUCGACUCGAAGGCAGGAGAGGGUAGUGGAAUUCCCGGUGUAGUGGUGAAAUUCGUAGAUAUCGGGAGGAACACCAGUGGCGAAGGCGGCGAUCUGGGCAGACACUGACGCUGAGGUGCGAAAGCGUGGGGAGCAAACAGG
rnacentral:rRNA from 1 species